AGCAGCCGCGGUAAUUCCAGCUCCAAUAGCGUAUAUUAAAGUUGUUGCAGUUAAAAAGCUCGUAGUUGAAUUUCGGGAUCAAUUUAUUGGUCGUGCCAACGGUACGCACUGGUACAAUUGGUUUCUCCCUUCUGACGAAGCAUGAUGUCAUUAACUUGAUGUCGUGGGGAAUCAGGACUGUUACUUUGAAAAAUUAGAGUGUUUAAAGCAGGCUUUGGCUUGAAUACAUUAGCAUGGAAUAAUGAAAUAGGACGUUUGAUCUUAUUUCGUUGGUUUCUAAGAUCGACGUAAUGAUUAAUAGGGAUAGUUGGGGGCAUUAGUAUUCAAUUGUCAGAGGUGAAAUUCUUGGAUUUAUUGAAGACUAACUACUGCGAAAGCAUUUGCCAAGGAUGUUUUCAUUAAUCAAGAAUGAAAGUUAGGGGAUCGAAGAGAUCAGAUAC
rnacentral:rRNA from 1 species